rnacentral:lncRNA from 1 species
CGUCUUUGCAACCAGUUCCCCAUGUUCCAUCCCCUCUGCUGAAGACCUAGGCUGGGCACUGUUUUCCCAACUGAUCUGUAGCUGGAAUCUCUGAAGGCACGUCUGUGGUACACACGAGGAGCCUGAAACUGGGAGAAGCCCCUGGACCUGCCUGUGUGAAUUGCAUUAGCAGUGGGACAGGACCCAGCUCUCCCAGGCUCUACUUACCAGCCGAGGCUACCACCACACAGAGUGUACUGCAGUUUCAGGCUUGGAGAGGAAGGGAGGAAGCCUAACCCUCGGGAGACCCCGUCAUGUUUUGAUGUCAUUGCAUGUCCCAUUUGGCCAGCCCGGAAAAAAUAAAAUGAGGAAGAAUGGCCCACAAACAACCUGGACAGAUAGAAGGCUGCUUUUAAAGAAGCUCACAGACACAGCUGAUUGAUUCUGCGACCUUGCUUUGUUACUCAUCUCUGAGUUUAGAGGCUUCACUGCCAGGGACCUUGUCCAGAGUUUCUGAGACCUCCAACAGCCUGUGGUCUCCUGGUCACUCAGACCCUACUGGUGGCUUCAGAUGCUGGAUCUUGCUGAUGUUUGAAUUAGCUCUCUGUGAAGGGCAUGCUGGUGAGGCCACAUACCAGGAAACCAUGACAAACAACAGAAUUACAGUCUGGUUAAAAAAGAAAAUAUACAUAUGCACAUAUGUAUAUUCCCCUACCCCAGGGGUUGAGACUUUUUUUGGCAUAAAUUUACAUAUAUUUUGGCACAAAUUUGCAUAGAGGUACACGAGAACCUCUCAUUUACAGCACUAAAAUUUGUAUUGUUCCCCUUAGACCCUUGUCACUGGCUGUUACUAAUGUACUGAGUUUCACCAGUUUGUCCUCCAUUUCCUAGAAUUUGUUCUAAUUUUUAGGAAAUGCUUACUAAAUAUCACCAUUGUGUGUGGUGAAAUCCAGCCCUAGAGGACAUCAAAAGGUCUCUUGUUAGCUGGUAGCUAUUGUUAGGUAUUAUCUGUAGAGACAUCGGGUUUCCUGGAAACAUCCCAUAGAGCUGUCCAAAAGUAUUAAUUAUUAAAUUGGGCCUUUAACUGUAUUUAUAGAAAUUAUAAUAUUACGUUUAUAUGUAUAGAAAAGAGAUUAUAUCUAAGCCUUAUAUCUGUAUAAAAAAAGGAUUUUACCAAAAGUACUGGAAGGUGCAUUAUAGUUACUCUCAAAUGUAAUAUUAGGGAUUUAUAUUUACAUAUAUUUGAGACAGGGUCUCACUCUGCCCAGGCUGGAGUGCAGUGGUGUGAUCUCUCGCCUCA